UGGGGAAUAUUGGACAAUGGGCGCAAGCCUGAUCCAGCAAUGCCGCGUGAGUGAUGAAGGCCUUAGGGUUGUAAAGCUCUUUCGAUAGGGAAGAAAAUGACGGUACCUAUAUAAGAAGCUCCGGCUAACUCCGUGCCAGCAGCCGCGGUAAUACGGAGGGAGCUAGCGUUUUUCGGAUUUACUGGGCGUAAAGAGCGCGUAGGCGGUCAAUUAAGUUGAAAGUGAAAUCCCAAAGCUUAACUUUGGAACUGCUUUCAAAACUGGUUGACUAGAGUGUGAUAGGGGACAGUGGAAUUCCUAGUGUAGAGGUGAAAUUCUUAGAUAUUAGGAGGAACACCGGAGGCGAAGGCGACUGUCUGGAUCAUUACUGACGCUAAGGUGCGAAAGCGUGGGGAGCAAACAGG
rnacentral:rRNA from 1 species